rnacentral:rRNA from 1 species
AGAGUUUGAUCCUGGCUCAGGAUGAACGCUAGCUACAGGCUUAACACAUGCAAGUCGAGGGGCAGCAUGGACCCAGCUUUGCUGGGUUUGAUGGCGACCGGCGCACGGGUGAGUAACGCGUAUCCAACCUGCCCUUUACUCCGGGAUAGUCUCCUGAAAGGGAGUUUAAUACCGGAUGUGUUUGUCUUUCCGCAUGGGAGCGACAAAUAAAGAUUAAUUGGUAAAGGAUGGGGAUGCGUCCCAUUAGCUUGUUGGCGGGGUAACGGCCCACCAAGGCGACGAUGGGUAGGGGUUCUGAGAGGAAGGUCCCCCACAUUGGAACUGAGACACGGUCCAAACUCCUACGGGAGGCAGCAGUGAGGAAUAUUGGUCAAUGGGCGGGAGCCUGAACCAGCCAAGUAGCGUGAAGGACGACGGCCCUACGGGUUGUAAACUUCUUUUAUAAGGGAAUAAAGUUCGCCACGUGUGGUGUUUUGUAUGUACCUUAUGAAUAAGCAUCGGCUAAUUCCGUGCCAGCAGCCGCGGUAAUACGGAAGAUGCGAGCGUUAUCCGGAUUUAUUGGGUUUAAAGGGAGCGUAGGCGGGCUUUUAAGUCAGCGGUCAAAUGUCACGGCUCAACCGUGGCCAGCCGUUGAAACUGCAAGCCUUGAGUCUGCACAGGGCACAUGGAAUUCGUGGUGUAGCGGUGAAAUGCUUAGAUAUCACGAAGAACUCCGAUCGCGAAGGCAUUGUGCCGGGGCAUAACUGACGCUGAGGCUCGAAAGUGCGGGUAUCAAACAGGAUUAGAUACCCUGGUAGUCCGCACGGUAAACGAUGAAUGCUCGCUAUGGGCGAUAUAUUGUCCGUGGCCAAGCGAAAGCGUUAAGCAUUCCACCUGGGGAGUACGCCGGCAACGGUGAAACUCAAAGGAAUUGACGGGGGCCCGCAC